GAUGAACGCUGGCGGCGUGCCUAAUACAUGCAAGUCGAGCGAACAGACGAGGAGCUUGCUCCUUUGACGUUAGCGGCGGACGGGUGAGUAACACGUGGGUAACCUACCUAUAAGACUGGGAUAACUUCGGGAAACCGGAGCUAAUACCGGAUAAUAUUUCGAACCGCAUGGUUCGAUAGUGAAAGAUGGCUCUGCUAUCACUUAUAGAUGGACCUGCGCCGUAUUAGCUAGUUGGUAAGGUAACGGCUUACCAAGGCAACGAUACGUAGCCGACCUGAGAGGGUGAUCGGCCACACUGGAACUGAGACACGGUCCAGACUCCUACGGGAGGCAGCAGUAGGGAAUCUUCCGCAAUGGGCGAAAGCCUGACGGAGCAACGCCGCGUGAGUGAUGAAGGUCUUCGGAUCGUAAAACUCUGUUAUUAGGGAAGAAUAAACGUGUAAGUAACUGUGCACGUCUUGACGGUACCUAAUCAGAAAGCCACGGCUAACUACGUG
rnacentral:rRNA from 1 species